rnacentral:rRNA from 1 species
GACGAACGCUGGCGGCGUGCCUAAUACAUGCAAGUCGAACGCUGAAGGAGGAGCUUGCUUCUCUGGAUGAGUUGCGAACGGGUGAGUAACGCGUAGGUAACCUGCCUGGUAGCGGGGGAUAACUAUUGGAAACGAUAGCUAAUACCGCAUAAGAGUAGAUGUCGCAUGACAUUUGCUUAAAAGGUGCAAUUGCAUCACUACCAGAUGGACCUGCGUUGUAUUAGCUAGUUGGUGAGGUAACGGCUCACCAAGGCAACGAUACAUAGCCGACCUGAGAGGGUGAUCGGCCACACUGGGGCUGAGACACGGCCCAGACUCCUACGGGAGGCAGCAGUAGGGAAUCUUCGGCAAUGGACGGAAGUCUGACCGAGCAACGCCGCGUGAGUGGAGAAGGUUUUCGGAUCGUAAAGCUCUGUUGUAAGAGAAGAACGAGUGUGAGAGUGGAAAGUUCACACUGUGACGGUAUCUUACCAGAAAGGGACGGCUAACUACGUG